UACGAAGGGUGCAAGCGUUACUCGGAAUUACUGGGCGUAAAGGGCGCGUAGGCGGCAAUUCAAGUCAUCUGUGAAAUCUCCGGGCUUAACCCGGAACGGUCAGAUGAUACUGCUUUGCUAGAGUGCGGAAGGGGCAAUCGGAAUUCUUGGUGUAGCGGUGAAAUGCGUAGAUAUCAAGAGGAACACCUGAGGUGAAGACGGGUUGCUGGGCCGACACUGACGCUGAUAGCGCGAAAGCCAGGGGAGCAAACGGG
rnacentral:rRNA from 1 species